GGAAGUAUGAGUUCAUUGCUAGAUCUAAACUUCCUAAAUGCACUGAUUGUCCUGAACUCAAGCUUAGUUUGCAACAUGCUGAGGAUGAAAACUCUUACUUGCGCACGGUUCUGUAACGUCCGUGAAAUCACCACCCUGAAAUCACCCGUUAAAAACCGUCUUUAAAAUCUUUUUACCGCUGAGCUCCCGGACUUCCAAAAUCUUCCCGGCGAUUUCGCCGUCCCGGCAUCCGAGCCGACCUCUACCUUUUACCUGUGCCCAUAAAUCUCGCCGCGUGCCGUCGUCAGACCACCGCGCGCGUGCUCCGACCGCGUGCCGUAAUCGCCGCCGGUCCCCCUCUUUUUCUUUCACUUUUUCCCUCCCUCUUUUCUUUUUUUUCCUUUUCCUUCUUUCUUCUUCCUCCUUCUUCUUCCUUCUUCCUCCUGCCUUCUUCUCCCUCCUUCUCCUUCUUCCUCCUGGUGCCGCAUGUCUGGCCCCAACGCCUUAACUCCACCGUACCCCACCUCCACUGGCG
rnacentral:lncRNA from 1 species